AUAUAUAUAUAUAUAUGUAUAUAUCUGUUGCAACAUCCUAUAUUUGAAAGAUAUUAGUUUUUACUAGACAGGCUUACUACUAUACACAAGAAUUAAUCUUGGCGAUGAUACACUUAUCACGUUAGUAUGAAUAUAUUUAAGAUUAUGAUGUGUAACACUAUAUACAAUUAGAAUAAGGCCCAAAAUACACACACUAGAUAAUGGUAAGACCUACAGUAAUACUAAGGGGACUUGAAAUAUUUAUAUGUCAUAGAACAGAGAGAUAAACACGUGGCAUUAACUCAGAAUGAUAGUACAUCAACAAAGGCACAGAUGCCAAUUCUACCUGUCUGCCGAGGACAGAGAUCUUCAAGGGAUGAGUUGGAGUGAAUCAAAGUGUGUCUUGAAGUCUGUUAGAAUGUAAGAGUUUGUCUAUCAGAAUAUAUGCAAUAUGAUUUAUGACACAUUGCUAAUGACUGUAUUCUCGGUAGGCGGAGCUUGAUUUUAAAUCAGCGGUCUGGGGCGUGGCUUUGCCUAGCCCCGAUUGGUCGAGAGGUAGCGGUCAUGGUUUAAAGGUCGGCCUUCCGAGCGACUUCCAACAGGGCACUCAAAACCCUUUAAGGUCUAAGUUGGUACGACGCAACCUGAUCCACCUGUAAGCAUUGCUCGCUGAUCUCUGCUAGGAUAUUUGGGACUGUUGAAAGGGUCAUCUAACGCAGCACCGAUAUCUGAUUGUAUCUUUUCCACGCAUAUGAGGUAAUUCUACUUUGUAGCUAAUUUUAAACUGUAUACUUCUUUAGUAAUAAAUACUUUCGUAUGAUAUAUAUAUAUAUAUAUAUAUAUAUAUAUAUAUAUAUAUAUAUAUAUAUAUAUAUAUGUAUGUAUGUAUAUAAGUGUGUGUGUGCAUGUGAAUAUAUGUAUGUAUAAUAUACGCUGACUUCUACUCCGACUGUUUAGUCGUACAUUACAUAAAGAAAGUAAGCCAAGUAGUAUGAUCGCCGCAUCCAUUUGCGUUCUCCUUGGUUUCUUUAUCUUCGUAAUUUUUGCAUUACAUGUGACUGAGCAUCAUAUGUUCCUGAGCUACGCACACACAUAACAUGCUUCAGUAUAUCAAGUGAGAAAUUGUUGUUUGUGAAUAUAUGAAAUCAGUGUCCACAAAGAAUAUAUGCUGCUGAUUUAAGCAUAUAAUUGCACCCUCCCGAUUCUGCAUUUGCACUGGACAUCAUUUAAAGAAAUUAGGAAUAAUUGCUAGACUCCCACGACAUCCCAUCCCUGAUUAAUCUUAUGGCUGAUGCAGAGAGAGGGAGUUUAAUACCAACAAAGGCAGUGAAGUCCAUCCAUUGCUUGCUGUAAAGUGGGAAAGUAUUACUACUUGCCAAGAAUGAUCUUCAAAAGUAGAUUUUAAGAUUUCUGAUUAUUUUUUUCUCGAUAGGAUUCCGUGAAUGUUUAAUGUCUUUAGGCUAUAACACAUAUCUUAUCUAUUUAUUUGAUUUUUGGACAAUAUCUUUUAGUAGGAAAUAGUCAAAUUCCUACAAAGACGAAUCAUUUCUCUAUAAUUAAACGGUAUUUUUGUAUCUUUUCUACUAGUUAUAUAUGUAUAUAUCAUAUAUAUGUGUGUAUAUACAUACAAUAUAUAUAUAUAUAUAUAUAUAUAUACAUAUAUAUACAUAUAGAUAGACAGAUAGAUAGAUAGAUAGAUAGAUAUACAUAUAUAUCAUAUAUAUACAUAUUUGUACAUAUAAAUGGGACUGUUGAAAGGGUCAUCUAACACAGCACCGAUAUCUGAUUGUAUCUUUUCCACUCAUAUGAGGUAAUUCUAUUUUGUAGCUAAUUUUGAACUGUAUACUUCUUUAGUAAUGAAUACUUUCAUAUAAUAUAUAUAUAUAUAUAUAUAUAUAUAUAUAUAUAUAUAUAUAUAUAUAUAUAU
rnacentral:lncRNA from 1 species